AUCCCAGUUCGGAUCGCAGGCUGCAACCCGCCUGCGUGAAGUUGGAAUCGCUAGUAAUCGCGGAUCAGCAUGCCGCGGUGAAUACGUUCCCGGGCCUUGUACACACCGCCCGUCACACCAUGAGAAUCGGGAACACCCGAAGUCCGUAGUCUAACCGCAAGGGGACGCGGCCGAAGGUGGGUUCGAUAAUUGGGGUGAAGUCGUAACAAGGUAAC
rnacentral:rRNA from 1 species